rnacentral:rRNA from 1 species
UACGGGGGGGGCAAGCGUUGUUCGGAAUUACUGGGCGUAAAGGGCGCGUAGGCGGCCUUCUAAGUCGGACGUGAAAUCCCUCGGCUCAACCGAGGAACUGCGUCCGAUACUGAAAGGCUUGAAUCCGGGAGAGGGAUGUGGAAUUCCAGGUGUAGCGGUGAAAUGCGUAGAUAUCUGGAGGAAUACCGGUGGCGAAGGCGGCAUCCUGGACCGACAUUGACGCUGAACGGCGAAAGCUAGGGGAGCAAACGGG